UGCGACAUUAUAACAAAAAUCUCAAAAAAAAAUUUAACAAGAAGAGAUUAUAUUCAAAAAGAAAAAAAGAAGAGGAAAAUGGAGGCACCAAAGACGAUUCAGCAUAAAAUGGAAGCAAUAAGCUGAUGAUCUGUUUGUGAGAGUCGGAAGGUACUAGAACGAAGCUAUAGUACGUAUUUUAAGUUGAGUGAUUCUAUAGUUUCUUGUAGCCGUUUGUUUAACUUUGCUCUACAUUUAUUCUGGUUUGAUCUGAUUAUGCAGAGGACCAGUUCACUUUUACGAAAUAUGCUUGAUGUUAUUGAGGAAGUACAGAUAGCACGGUUAGAAAUUAGGGGUCUGAUUCUUACUAGCUUCCGUUCUCCAUCUGGUACACUAUUAUCUCCACUUUAUUAUGUUUCUUAAAUUUGUGGUUGUGAUGCCGUGGGCUGAAAUUCUUGCUUUGAGAAUUUGACUUUGAUUCUUUUCUUCAGGAAAACAAAGUAGAGAUGAUGGAUGACUAGAUCAUAUUUCUUGUUUGAUAUAAUGCCAUUUGAAACCUAUGCAUGCUUAUCCUGCUACGAACUGUUUUACUUAUUAUUUUGUUUUAAUUUAUUGGAAUGGAGCUUAGCGUUUUGGGCGCUCUUGUUUUUAUUUAUGAGUGGCAG
rnacentral:lncRNA from 1 species